CAGAGGUCCCGAGCGUUGUUCGGAUUCAUUGGGCGUAAAGGGUGCGUAGGCGGCGGGGCAAGUCUGAUGUGAAAUCCUGGGGCUCAACCCUGGAACUGCAUUGGAUACUGCCUUGCUAGAGUACUGGAGAGGAAACUGGAAUUUACGGUGUAGCAGUGAAAUGCGUAGAUAUCGUAAGGAAGACCAGUGGCGAAGGCGAGUUUCUGGACAGUUACUGACGCUGAGGCACGAAGGCCAGGGGAGCAAACGGGAUUAGAUACCCCGGUAGUCCUGGCAGUAAACGGUGCGCGUUUGGUGUAGGAGGAAUCGACCCCUUCUGUGCCGGAGCUAACGCGUUAAACGCGCCGCCUGGGGAGUACGGUCGCAAGAUUA
rnacentral:rRNA from 1 species